GCCCGCACAAGCGGCGGAGCAUUGCGGUAUUAAUUCGAUGCAACUGCGAAGAACCUUACCAAGGCUUGACAUACACCGGAUAACGGCCAGAGUAUGGUCGCCCCCUUGUGGCUCGUGUGUACAGGUGGUGUCAUGGUUGUCGUCAGCUCGUGUCGUGAGAUGUUGGGUUAAGUCCCGCAACGUAGCGCAACCCUCGUUCUAUGUUGCCAUCGGGUCAUGUCCGGGGACUCAUAGGAGUACUUUCUCGGGUUCAACUCGGAGGAAGGUGGGGAUGACGUCAAAUCAUCAUGCCCCUUAUGUCUUGGGCUUCACGCAUGCUACAAUGGCCGGUACAAAGGGCUGCGAUACCGUAAGGUGGAG
rnacentral:rRNA from 1 species